rnacentral:rRNA from 1 species
GACGGAGGGGGCUAGCGUUGUUCGGAAUGACUGGGCGUAAAGGGCGCGUAGGCGGUAUAAUAAGUGAGGCGUGAAAGCCCUGGGCUUAACCCAGGAGGUGCGUUUCAUACUGUUAUGCUAGAGUGCGAGAGAGGAAAGUGGAAUUCCUAGUGUAGAGGUGAAAUUCGUAGAUAUUAGGAAGAACACCAGAGGCGAAGGCGGCUUUCUGGCUCGCAACUGACGCUGAGGCGCGAAAGCGUGGGGAGCAAACAGG